GACCAGACUCCUACGGGAGGCAGCAGUGGGGAAUAUUGGGCAAUGGGCGCAAGCCUGACCCAGCAACGCCGCGUGAAGGAAGAAGGCUUUCGGGUUGUAAACUUCUUUUGUCAGGGACGAAGCAAGUGACGGUACCUGACGAAUAAGCCACGGCUAACUACGUGCCAGCAGCCGCGGUAAUACGUAGGUGGCAAGCGUUAUCCGGAUUUACUGGGUGUAAAGGGGGCGCAGACGGCGAUGCAAGCCAGGAGUGAAAGCCCGGGGCCCAACCCCGGGACUGCUCUUGGAACUGCGUGGCUGGAGUGCAGGAGGGGCAGGCGGAAUUCCUGGUGUAGCGGUGAAAUGCGUAGAUAUCAGGAGGAACACCGGUGGCGAAGGCAGGUCUCUGGGCCGUUACUGACGCUGAGGAGCGAAAGCGUGGGGAGCGAACAGGAUUAGAUACCCUUGUA
rnacentral:rRNA from 1 species